rnacentral:rRNA from 1 species
GAAAGUAAGAAAGGGCGCAGGGCGGAUGCCUUGGCUCACGGAGGCGAUGAAGGACGUGAUAAGCUGCGAUAAGCCGCGGUUAGGUGCAAAUAACCUUUGACCCGCGGAUUUCCGAAUGGGACAACCCGUCCGUUUGAACGACGGACAUCACAUUUAAAAUGUGAGGCGAACCCGGGGAACUGAAACAUCUUAGUACCCGGAGGAAGAGAAAAUAAACUAAUGAUUCCCCCAGUAGUGGCGAGCGACCGGGGAAGAGCCCAAACCGUUGCUGUCGCAAGGCAGGAGCGGGGUUGUAGGACCGCAUAACGAUAUUGUAAAGUCGAGCGGAACCGUCUGGAAAGUCGGACCGCAGAAGGUGACAGUCCUGUAUGCGUAGACAAUUAUAAUAUCAGCGUAAUCCUGAGUAACGCGGGACACGAGUAAUCCUGCGCGAAUCCGCCGGGCCCAUCCGGCAAGGCUAAAUACUCCCGUGAGACCGAUAGUGUACCAGUACCGUGAGGGAAAGGUGAAAAGAACCCCGAGCAGGGGAGUGAAAUAGCUCCUGAACCCCUGCGCCUACAAGCGGUCGGAGCAUGUAUUACAUGUGACGGCGUGCCUUUUGCAUAAUGAACCUACGAGUUGCCGUCGCCGGCGAGGUUAAGGAUGAAGACAUCCGUAUCCGCAGUGAAAGCGAGCCUGAACAGGGCGUUGAGUCGGCGGAGGCAGACGCGAAACCAAGUGAUCUACACUUGGCCAGGAUGAAGUCCCGGUAACACGGGAUGGAGGUCCGCACCGAUAAGCGUUGAAAAGCUUCCGGAUGAGCCGAGUGUAGGAGUGAAAGGCCAAUCAAACUUGGAGAUAGCUCGUACUCCCCGAAAUGCAUUUAGGUGCAGCGUGCGGUGUUAGUCAUGAGAGGUAGAGCGACCGAUAGGAUGAGGGGGUUUCACCGCCUGCCAAGUCCUGACGAACUCCGAAUGCUCAUGAGUCGCAGCCGUGCAGUAAGGGGGCGGGUGCUAAGGUCCGUCCCCGAGAGGAGAAGAAUCCAGACCGCCGUCUAAGGUCCCGGAAUUCUGCCUGAGUUAGUCUAACGAAGUGAGGUCCCUGAGACAGCCAGGAUGUUGGCUUGGAAGCAGCCAUUCAUUCAAAGAGUGCGUAACAGCUCACUGGUCGAGGGUCCUUGCGUGGAUAAUAAUCGGGUAUAAGGCAGAUGCCGAAGGCGCGGGAUAGCAAAUAAUAAAAGUAUCGGUAGGGGAGCAUUCCAUAUGCGCAGAAUGUAUGAGGUAACUCAUGCUGGAGCGUAUGGAAAAGCAAAUGUAGGUAUAAGUAACGAUAAGGGGAAUGAGAUUUUCCCCCGCCGCAAGACCGAGGUUUCCCGGGCAAUGUCAAUCAGCCCGGGGUCAGUCGGGUCCUAAGUUUAAGCCGAACGGCGAGAGCGAUGGCAGAUACGGUCAACAUUCCGUAACUGCCGCAGCAGGCGAUGUGGUGACGGAGGCGUGGAACCGCCGCGGACCGACGGAAUGGUCCGUUAAAGGGUGUAGGUGCUGAGGGAUAUAGGCAAAUCCGUAUUCCGAGCCGAACCUGAAAGUAUGCCUUCCUCCUCGGAGGCGGGCAAUAGCGCGGGUAAUCAUACUCCCGAGAAAAACCGCUAAGCAACUGUUGCGGCACCCGUACCGCAAACGGACACACGUGGUCGUGUAGAAUAUACUGAGGCGUUGAGAGAUUCAUGGUUAAGGAACUAGGCAAACUGACCCCGUAACUUCGGGAUAAGGGGUCCUCACGUUGAGUGAGGCGCAGAGAAUAGGUCCAGGCAACUGUUUAACAAAAACACAGGGCUGUGCAAACUCGAAAGAUGAAGUAUACAGCCUGACACCUGCCCGGUGCCGGAAGGUUAAGAGGAGAAGUCAUCGCAAGAGAAGCUUUGAAUUGAAGCCCCGGUAAACGGCGGCCGUAACUAUAACGGUCCUAAGGUAGCGAAAUUCCUUGUCGGGUAAG